rnacentral:rRNA from 1 species
UACAGAGGGGGCAAGCGUUGUUCGGAAUUACUGGGCGUAAAGGGCGCGUAGGCGGCCCUCUAAGUCAGACGUGAAAUCCCACGGCUCAACCGUGGAACUGCGUCUGAUACUGGAGGGCUUGAAUCCGGGAGAGGGAUGUGGAAUUCCAGGUGUAGCGGUGAAAUGCGUAGAUAUCUGGAGGAACACCGGUGGCGAAGGCGGCAUCCUGGACCGGUAUUGACGCUGAGGCGCGAAAGCUAGGGGAGCAAACGGG